UCGUAUAGGUACGAUUUACUUUGACAGAAGAAACUUUUCGACAAAGAUGCAGUUACGAUCGAUGUAAAGUUGACUGGUUGUAGGUAGUUACCGAAAUGGCGGAUCGUUCGUUAUUGCCGAUUUUUUUCAUAUCUUUAGUUUUGUUCGUAAUUAUAAAGUAUUGUUUAGGAGCACAUCUCGAAUACCAGGAUCGUUUCGAUAAUAACGUGACGCACUACGUGUUUCAAGAGCUUUAUAACACAUUAGUAGAUCAAGCACCUUACAGAUAACACAAUUUUCCAUCGCAGCUUCUCAAGAUUUCCAAACUUGAUAGAGAACUUUUCAACAUGAAACUCGAUUCACUAGACAACUACCUUAUUUUUAUUUUAAAAGCAUUUCUUUUUCUAUUUUUAAUUUAAUUUCUAUUCAAUAGUUUCAGUUCAUUUUUUUCGUCAUUUAAAUGAUGACAACAAUGAUGUAAGUUAUAAGUCAAUAAAUUAAUACGCACGAUUA